GGCUGCGUGGCGCAAUGGUAGCGCGUUACUUUCCGGGUAACACUGCUGGUAAAGGCUCUGGGUUCGAAUCCCAGCGUGGUCG